UACGUAGGCGGUUUAUUAAGUCAGAUGUGAAAGCCCCGGGCUUAACCUGGGAACUGCAUUUGAUACUGGUAGACUAGAGUAUGGUAGAGGGGGGUAGAAUUCCUAGUGUAGCGGUGAAGUGCGUAGAUAUUAGGAGGAAUACCAGUGGCGAAGGCGGCCCCCCUGGACCAAUACUGACGCUGAGGUACGAAAGCGUGGGUAGCGAACA
rnacentral:rRNA from 1 species